GACGAACGCUGGCGGCGUGCUUAACACAUGCAAGUCGAACGGAAAGGCCCUGCUUUUGUGGGGUGCUCGAGUGGCGAACGGGUGAGUAACACGUUAGUAACCUGCCCUUGACUUUGGUAUAACUUCAGGAAACUGGGGCUAAUACCGGAUAGGAGCUCCUGCUGCAUGGUGUGGGUUGGAAAGUUUCGGCGGUUGGGGAUGGACUCGCGGCUUAUCAGCUUGUUGGUGGGGUAGUGGCUUACCAAGGCUUUGACGGGUAGCCGGCCUGAGAGGGUGACCGGACAAAUUGGGACUGAGAUACGGACCAGAAUGCUACGGGAGGCAGCAGUGGGGAAUAGUGCACAAUGGGCGGAAGCGUGAUGAAGCAACGCCGGGUGCGGGAUGACGGCCUUCGGGUUGUAAACCGAUUUCGCCUGUGACGAAGAGUGAGUGACGGUAAUGGGUAAAGAAGCACCGGCUAACUACGUG
rnacentral:rRNA from 1 species